rnacentral:rRNA from 1 species
AGAGUUUGAUCCUGGCUCAGGAUGAACGCUGGCGGCGUGCCUAACACAUGCAAGUCGAGCGAUUCUCUUCGGAGAAGAGCGGCGGACGGGUGAGUAACGCGUGGGUAACCUGCCCUGUACACACGGAUAACAUACCGAAAGGUAUGCUAAUACGGGAUAAUAUAAGAAAUUCGCAUGUUUUUCUUAUCAAAGCUCCGGCGGUACAGGAUGGACCCGCGUCUGAUUAGCUAGUUGGUGAGGUAACGGCUCACCAAGGCGACGAUCAGUAGCCGACCUGAGAGGGUGAUCGGCCACAUUGGAACUGAGACACGGUCCAAACUCCUACGGGAGGCAGCAGUGGGGAAUAUUGCACAAUGGGCGAAAGCCUGAUGCAGCAACGCCGCGUGAGCGAUGAAGGCCUUCGGGUCGUAAAGCUCUGUCCUCAAGGAAGAUAAUGACGGUACUUGAGGAGGAAGCCCCGGCUAACUACGUGCCAGCAGCCGCGGUAAUACGUAGGGGGCUAGCGUUAUCCGGAUUUACUGGGCGUAAAGGGUGCGUAGGCGGUCUUUUAAGUCAGGAGUGAAAGGCUACGGCUCAACCGUAGUAAGCUCUUGAAACUGGAGGACUUGAGUGCAGGAGAGGAGAGUGGAAUUCCUAGUGUAGCGGUGAAAUGCGUAGAUAUUAGGAGGAACACCAGUAGCGAAGGCGGCUCUCUGGACUGUAACUGACGCUGAGGCACGAAAGCGUGGGGAGCAAACAGGAUUAGAUACCCUGGUAGUCCACGCCGUAAACGAUGAGUACUAGCUGUCGGAGGUUACCCCCUUCGGUGGCGCAGCUAACGCAUUAAGUACUCCGCCUGGGGAGUACGCUCGCAAGAGUGAAACUCAAAGGAAUUGACUGGGACCCGCACAAGUAGCGGAGCAUGUGGUUUAAUUCGAAGCAACGCGAAGAACCUUACCUAAGCUUGACAUCCUUUUGACCGAUGCCUAAUCGCAUCUUUCCCUUCGGGGACAGAAGUGACGGGUGGUGCAUGGUUGUCGUCAGCUCGUGUCGUGAGAUGUUGGGUUAAGUCCCGCAACGAGCGCAACCCUUGCCUUUAGUUGCCAUCAUUAAGUUGGGCACUCUAGAGGGACUGCCAGGGAUAACCUGGAGGAAGGUGGGGAUGACGUCAAAUCAUCAUGCCCCUUAUGCUUAGGGCUACACACGUGCUACAAUGGGUGGUACAGAGGGCAGCGAAGUCGUGAGGCCAAGCUAAUCCCUUAAAGCCAUUCUCAGUUCGGAUUGUAGGCUGAAACUCGCCUACAUGAAGCUGGAGUUACUAGUAAUCGCAGAUCAGAAUGCUGCGGUGAAUGCGUUCCCGGGUCUUGUACACACCGCCCGUCACACCAUGGGAGUUGGGGGCGCCCGAAGCCGGCUAGCUAACCUUUUGGAAGCGGUCGUCGAAGGUGAAACCAAUAACUGGGGUGAAGUCGUAACAAGGUA